rnacentral:lncRNA from 1 species
UCUUGCUUCAUCUUGGUUCCGCAUUUCUCCGUUCAUCUCGUUCCGUUGCAUGAAAAAGUUCUAGUUCUGGCGAGAGCACUAGAAGUUUUCUAAUUUUUUAUUUUUUAUUUAUUUUUGAUCAAAGAGGAAUCCCAAAUCCUAUUCUAAUCCUAAUGCCAAUCCUACUCCUGAUCCCAAGUGCAAGUGCAAUACAAUCCCUAAUAAAGUAAACUCAAGCAACUUAGAAAAUGCAUUCUUCAAUCUUCAAAAUAAUACUUCAUAAUACGCUUUCUACUUUUUCUUUCUAAUCCUUUUCCUCCCUUCUAACCGCUUUCACUACUAAAAUUGUCGUCAAUUCUAUUUAUUUAUUCAUUCCAUUUUCCUUUACUCUUUUCUUCCCUUUUUCCAAUCCACACAUCUUUUCCUUCUUCUCCCUACCGCUCCUACAAUAUCUCCUUAUAAGACAAUGCAGUGUAUCAAUCCUUUAUUCCUUAUUUCUAAAUUUUGGUAAGGUAACGUACUGGGAGUAUUCUAUCACAAAAAAGGUUGCAGCGGAGCAACGACAAUAGAAGCAUAAACGCUUAAAAAAACAAGUUGGGAUUGUCACACUAUUUGCUCUUUACGCGAUGCAUCAAUGUAUCCUUUUAAAAAGUAUCAAAUUUAAAAAAUAAAACCUUCUCGACCUUUUUCGUGGAGACUGAAAACAAAUAGCAUUGAGGAUUCGAGCCUUAUUUAUUAAUUAUUUUAUUUUGUUCUAUUUUAUUUUUCAUUUCAAUUCCUUUUGCACAAACGUUUUGUCGUUGUUUGGCUAUAAAAAGUGAAAGAAUUUGACACUUUGUCGCCCAUUUCUUUGCAUCGCUAACCACCACUAUUCAUCCUUGGCUUCUUUUCUUCAAAGAACAGUGUUAUGGGAUGAUACUGAUAAUCAUCAUACUAUGAUCAUAAGAUUUUAACAUCUAUUUUGUCGACUAGCGUUCCUGCAAAUCCAGCUCUUUUGACCUCUAUUCCUUAGUCAGUAAAUGAGCGAUUUCCGCAUAGCUAUGAUACUAUACGAUAUCUUGUUGACAUCCUAAAAAUAUUGAUUGACCAUUAAAAAAAAAAUCAUGGACCUUUCCUACAAGACAGUUGAUAUGGUAGGACACAAGGAACAUCAAUCAAAGUGUAUUUAAUAUGUGAUGAACUAACGUCCCGCACCCUAUACACAUUCAAAUGCUAUUAUUAAAAAAGGAAAAUAGUUGGAAUUAAUCUUGACUCAUUAAAAGCAAAAUUUCAUGAAACACUGCAAAAAUAAUUUAAAAAAAAAGUAUUAAAAAUAUCCAAUCCAACUUCAACUUUUCUGAUUUCAUUAUCAAAUCAUCUCGCAGUACUGCAUUCAAUUGUCAUUCAAAUUUUACUAAAAUUUUUCAGGUAAAUACAUCGGACAAACAACUUAGUGACACUUAAAAGAAUGUGUUAAAAAUAUAAUGCGAUAAAGCUGGAAAAUAUGAACUAUCGCUUAUAUGCUUUUUUGCGUUGGCCAUUUUCGUAAAGAAAGUUUUCCAAUUAUAGAGAUGUUCGGAAGCACAACAUUAAUAAUGCAACUAGACUUCGCUUUCAACAUCCAUUUCCCCCAAGGGAAUGUCAUUAUUAUCGUUGGCACCUCUAAUCGCAUUUGCUAGCCCCAUCAUCGCAUUUCCUAUCCCUCCUAGUCGGGUAAGUAAAAAAUCAUUCAUACAGUUGGUUGAAUACACAUACCUAAUAUAAAAGCUAUACCAUUCCUGAUAGAGUUUCGUGUUCUUAUGAGUGCACCUGGACAUUCUGGCAUGGUUAGAAUAAAGUAAAGCAAUAUUUAACGAACCCAUUUCGCAAAGAAAAAGAACAUUGCCCAUAAUAAAUAACACAGAGGCUUCAAUUUCACAACCUAUCCGUUCAAAAUGUUUACCACGUAAAAACAUCGUACCGUUUAGUACCAACACGAU